UACGGGGGGGGGCAAGCGUUGUUCGGAAUUACUGGGCGUAAAGGGCGCGUAGGCGGCCUGCUAAGUCGGAUGUGAAAUCCCUCGGCUCAACCGAGGAACUGCAUCCGAUACUGGCGGGCUUGAAUCCGGGAGAGGGAUGUGGAAUUCCAGGUGUAGCGGUGAAAUGCGUAGAUAUCUGGAGGAAUACCGGUGGCGAAGGCGGCAUCCUGGACCAUUACUGACGCUGAGGCGCGAAAGCAUGGGGAGCGAACAGG
rnacentral:rRNA from 1 species